UACAGAGGGUGCAAGCGUUAAUCGGAAUUACUGGGCGUAAAGCGUGCGUAGUCGGUUAUCUAAGUCGGGUGUGAAAUCCCCGGGCUCAACCUGGGAAUUGCAUUCGAUACUGGAUAGCUAGAGUUCGGCAGAGGGAAGCGGAAUUUCGGGUGUAGCGGUGAAAUGCGUAGAUAUCCGAAGGAACAUCAGUGGCGAAAGCGGCUUCCUGGACCAACACUGACGCUCAGGCACGAAAGCGUGGGGAGCAAACAGG
rnacentral:rRNA from 1 species